rnacentral:rRNA from 1 species
UAGAGUUUGAUCAUGGCUCAGAUUGAACGCUGGCGGCAGGCCUAACACAUGCAAGUCGAGCGGUAGAGAGAAGCUUGCUUCUCUUGAGAGCGGCGGACGGGUGAGUAAUGCCUAGGAAUCUGCCUGGUAGUGGGGGAUAACGUUCGGAAACGGACGCUAAUACCGCAUACGUCCUACGGGAGAAAGCAGGGGACCUUCGGGCCUUGCGCUAUCAGAUGAGCCUAGGUCGGAUUAGCUAGUUGGUGAGGUAAUGGCUCACCAAGGCGACGAUCCGUAACUGGUCUGAGAGGAUGAUCAGUCACACUGGAACUGAGACACGGUCCAGACUCCUACGGGAGGCAGCAGUGGGGAAUAUUGGACAAUGGGCGAAAGCCUGAUCCAGCCAUGCCGCGUGUGUGAAGAAGGUCUUCGGAUUGUAAAGCACUUUAAGUUGGGAGGAAGGGCAGUUACCUAAUACGUGAAUUGUUUUGACGUACCGACAG